UGUUCUAAUACUUGAAAUAUUAAUUAAUAUUCGAGGUAUAACCUGAAGUGGAUGGCGGUGGUUGGCGGUGGUUGCGGGUGAUCGUGGUGGACGAGGAGGAGCACAAACAGGAGGAGGAGAAUUUGUGCGCGUAUUCGAGGUAUAAUCCGAGGUCGUUAGCGGUGGUGGUCGGAGGUGGUUGGUGAUGAUUGAAGGUGAUCACGGUCGACGAGGAGGAGGACGAGGAAGACAAGGAGAAUACGGUGGACGAGGAAGACGAGGAUUUGUGCACGUAUUUGAGGUCCAACCCGAGGUGGGUAGCGGUGGUCAUUGGAGGUGGUUGGCAGUAGC